AUUGAACGCUGGCGGCAGGCUUAACACAUGCAAGUCGAGUGGGGAAAGGUAGCUUGCUACCUGACCUAGCGGCGGACGGGUGAGUAAUGCUUAGGAAUCUGCCUAUUAGUGGGGGACAACAUCUCGAAAGGGAUGCUAAUACCGCAUACGUCCUACGGGAGAAAGCAGGGGACCUUCGGGCCUUGCGCUAAUAGAUGAGCCUAAGUCGGAUUAGCUAGUUGGUGGGGUAAAGGCCUACCAAGGCGACGAUCUGUAGCGGGUCUGAGAGGAUGAUCCGCCACACUGGGACUGAGACACGGCCCAGACUCCUACGGGAGGCAGCAGUGGGGAAUAUUGGACAAUGGGGGGAACCCUGAUCCAGCCAUGCCGCGUGUGUGAAGAAGGCCUUUUAGUUGUAAAGCACUUUAAGCGAGGAGGAGGCUACCGAGAUUAAUACUGCUUGGAUAGUGGACGUUACUCG
rnacentral:rRNA from 1 species